rnacentral:rRNA from 1 species
GAUGAACGCUAGCGGCGUGCCUAAUGCAUGCAAGUCGAACGGGACCCUUUGGACUCGUCUGAAGGUGAGAGUGGCGAACGGGUGAGUAACACGUUGGUGACCUACCCCAGAGAGGGGGAUAACCAUUGGAAACGAUGGCUAAUACCCCAGAUGUCAUUACUGUUAGAGGGUAAUGACUAAAGCUCCGGCGCUCUGGGAGGGGCCUGCGGCCCAUCAGCUAGUUGGUAGGGUAAUGGCCUACCAAGGCAAAGACGGGUAGGGGGCGUGAGAGCGUGACCCCCCACACUGGUACUGACGCACGGACCAGAUACCUACGGGUAGCAGCAGCAAGGAAUAUUGCCCAAUGGACGCAAGUCUGAGGCAGCAACGCCGCGUGGAGGAUGAAGGCCUUCGGGUUGUAAACUCCUUUUCUGGGGGAAGAGAAAGGACGGUACCCCAGGAAUAAGUCUCGGCUAACUACGUG